rnacentral:rRNA from 1 species
AGAACGAACGCUGGCGGCAUGCCUAACACAUGCAAGUCGAACGAGACCUUCGGGUCUAGUGGCGCACGGGUGCGUAACGCGUGGGAAUCUGCCCUUAGGUACGGAAUAACAGUGAGAAAUUACUGCUAAUACCGUAUGAUGUCUUCGGACCAAAGAUUUAUCGCCUAGGGAUGAGCCCGCGUUGGAUUAGCUAGUUGGUGGGGUAAAGGCCUACCAAGGCGACGAUCCAUAGCUGGUCUGAGAGGAUGAUCAGCCACACUGGGACUGAGACACGGCCCAGACUCCUACGGGAGGCAGCAGUGGGGAAUAUUGGACAAUGGGCGAAAGCCUGAUCCAGCAAUGCCGCGUGAGUGAAGAAGGCCUUCGGUUGUAAAGCUCUUUCGACGGGACGAUAAUGACGGUACCCGUAGAAGAAGCUCCGGCUAACUUCGCGUCAGCAGCCGC